CCCAGGGCCUUUCAGCAGGCGGGUGGGCAGAGAUAGGAGGGAGGCAGUGCUGAGGGGAAGCCAGAACCUGCAGCUCACCAGGCAGGCACAUCCCAGGACAUGUGUGUGAGGCAGGUAAGUUUGAAGACCUCCUCCCACACACACUGCCAGGAGAUGCCAAGGUAAAAAUGAAGGAGUCGUCUCUGGGGUCUGGUUUGGGGUUCUGGAAAGGCAUCCCUCACCGCAAAUUGCUGCUGGAUACACGCUGCUGCUAUGCCUUCAAUUCCACCAUCAGGGUUCUGCUUUCAAAUUUCCCCCAGUGAACUGAAGUUGAUGUCACGAUGACGACGAUGGAGAAGCAGAGGCCCACACACAAAGAGGAAAGAGCCACAGUUACACGGCAAAAUGUUACUUGGGAGGCUAAUGGGAGAGGAUCGCUUGAGCCCAGGAAGUCGAGGCUACAGUGAGCUAUGAUCACACCACACACCACAGCCUGGGUGACAGAGGAAGACCUCGCCUCCUAAAAAGAUAAAAAGGUUCUGACAACCCACCUUCCCCCUGGUCUGAGGAGUGGAGGAACACGACCCCUAUUUCACAGAUGUUGAAACUGAGGCUCUGAAAGGAACCAGAUCAGGAUCACCAGCCAGUGCCUGGAGGAGUCUCCACAGGCCGGCCAGACUCCCAGGGCACGGGGGCUUCAGAGACCUGUCCAGCCACAUGGAGCUUUGAAAAAUCCCAGAGCCCUGAGCUGCCCCAGAGGCCUCCUGCCUAGGCUGCCAGCCCAGAGCACAGAGGCUUGGAGCGCUCAGCAGGUUCUGGCCCCUUGGAAUUCCCUGGCUCCAGCCCAGGCAGCUGACAAAUGCAAUCAAGACGGUGAAGUGUGAGAUCCCACCCUGUUCCCAGGUACUGGGAAGGAGGGGCAGGCUGCCCUUCCUUUUGACUCUGUCACCGGGCUGUCACCUCUCCCAAGGCAAAGCCCAAGCGUUGACCUAGGUGGGGUCUUGCUGGAAAAAUAGCCCCCCACCCUACCCCACCCCACCUUCCAUGGAAAACAAAAAGCUGCUUGAAGACCAGAGACAAUUCUAGAAUCCUAAAAGUGAUAUUGCUGGAUAGACUUUAGGCUUUAGGAGGGGUUUUGCACCCUCAUCUUACAGAAAAAGGGAAGUGGCUGAGUGCAGCUGAGAGCUUAAGUCCUGCUCAGUUACAGCAAAUCCACGUGUGAAUCCCAGCUUGGCUCUUCACGUGCUGUGUAAUCUUGGGUCACUAAAUCACAGACUCCUCGUCUAUAAAGGGAGUCAAUGUGAAGAUUUCAUGGGAUCAUAUACCUAGGGUGCAUAGGGUGACCAGUUGUCCUGGUUUGCCAGAAACCAAGGGGUGUCCCGGGAUGCAGAAUGUAAAAUACUCAAACCAGAAUGUCCAGCAAAUCAGGGCCCACCGGCCACUCAGUGAACAUGAGAGCCUGGCCCUUCAGCUGUUUUGUUGAAAGAGAGCUUAGUCUGGAGUCAGCUAUCAGUGAGUGUGAAACCCCCACCAGUAAACCAUCUACAAAGACUUGUCAAGUCAUUAGAAAGCUCUUCCCUUUUUUCACUAAACUGACCUUGAGCAACCUGCCACAUUUAUUUGUUGGUUUAGGCCCUCGAGUCACACAUGAUGAGCCAGCCGCCUCCCUUCCCAGACAGCAGCCACUUCCUCCUUUUAACCUCAGCCAGCUCUUCCUCCGCACCAUUCUUAACCCCUUCCCAGCUGACCCCCACCAGGCCAACCAGAGUGUGAGAUCCCACCCUGCCCUGCUCGCCCGGGUUGGGGAGGAGUCUACAGUUUGCUUUUGCUUACAGGUUUGUCAGUUUUUUACUUAUGUUCACUUAUAUGUUGGCUUGAUGCAGCUGUGGACGGGGGAGGUUCAAAAGAGGCUCACUUGUACAGGGAACAGAAAUUAAAGUAAAAGAAGGAAGGGAAACAUGUGUAGAGGCAGAAAAUGGAUCCAGGGCUAAGGGUGAAAUGCAGGAGUAUAAGAAAUGUCCUAAACACUGAUGGUGGCUGGGCCAUACACCGGACUCCCAGCUUCCUGAAAGGGGGACCAAGCUACAUGAGUUCCAUGCUCCUUGCUAAAAACCAAACCCACUCAGGGGAAUGGCAAGGCCUCCUGAUGCUAGGAGCAGAAGGACUGUCUCCAGAGGCCCGUGGAGAGAAGAUAUGGGGGAUCUGACCAUGGGACGGGACCUCCAGUUCCUGAAUGUUUUAAGGGAGGCAUCAAACACUCCCUGAUGGACAGCACUGCCCCAAACUGCAAUUCAGUAAAAGUCAGUUUUCCUAGAUGUAACUCUGAGUUUCAGUCUACACAUCUAGGAUGCAUGCAUUGCUGGUAUAAUCCAAAUAACUUUCUAGAGUAUCUGAGAAGAGGCCUAAACUGUGGCCUUUAAGUCACUCUCCCUGCUGUGGUUUUUUUCAGAAUUGAAGCCUUGGUAGCAGUAGCAGUGGUAAACAGGACACCACUACUCCUUUUAUUCCCCCCAUUUUUAAAAUUUUAUUUUAUUUUAAUUUUUGGAGAUGAGGUCUUGCUACAUGGCCCAGGCUGGUCUUGAACUCCUGGCCUCAAGCAAUUCUCCCACUUUGCCUCCCAAAGUGCUGGGCUUACUGGCAUGAUCCAUCAUGCCCAGCCCAAGGAUCAUCAUUCUCUACGGUCCAUGCUCAAACACAGUCUUUCUCCACACCAGCUGAACGUGGGCCUGGGGCAUCCUUACACUCACCUAUCUGUGCACAUGUUUUAUAAAACAGACAAGCCUGACACGGACAUGCUCAACGCAUAGAUAGAGUGACCCUCCAUUCUGGCUUGCCCAGGACAAUCCCUGUUUAUCCCUCUUGUCAUUCUCAAAGUGCCCUAGUCUGGACAACAAAUCCUAUGGUUUCCCUACUCACAGAUCACUCCCUCCUCUGCCCCAGAAGCUUCUGUGUACUGACCUUGCCCACCCACUUGUGCCAGGCUCUAAGCUAAGCACAAGUUCUGUGUCAUUAAAUUCCCACAAGGUCCUUUGAGGCAGGUACCACCAUGAUCCCCAUUUGACAGAUGAGGAAACCAAGGCUCAGAAAGCCUGUGGCUACUAUUUCAGAUGGUAGCCACAUGCCAGGAAUUUUCCAGGAUUUAAACACCAGUUGGUUUUUCACAGAGAUGGCUACUUUCACUACCUCUAUUUUCCAGAUGCAGAGAUUGAGCCUUAGUUCACCGAUAAAAGGGUGGCCUACCAAGGCCCUGUGGCUUCAGCCAGUAAAGAGCCACAGGGUGUCCAAGUUUCAGAGUCAACUUCCUUCGGUCCAGGCUCACGGGCUACGAUUCCCUGUGCAAGUGACAUGGCCUCUCUGAGCCUUCAUUUGUCUCAUCUGUAAAAUGAGGAUGAAUCUUGCAACUUACUAUCGGGUGAGUGAGAAGCAGAAGCAGGACCGGCACCGGGACCCUAUGCCUCAGCCCAGAUCGCACAGCUCUACCAGGAGGAGAUGUGUUCCCCCUAGGAAGUUCACAGUCCUCAGCAGAACCAGUACAUACUUCAUGGAGUCACUGCAAAAUGAAAAUGUAACCCCUUAUUCAAAAAUUGCUGCAAAUUCAGGACAGCAACUGCCAUGUGUUAAACCGAGCGCAGGCCUUCUGAGCCCUGUGUGGCUGCACUGGUCACUGGCCAGGAUGCUGGCCCUGCCCCUCGGCUCUGGGGAGUUGAGGGAAGAGCCCUCUACACUCAGACCCCAGCAGGACAGGGGCUGGGUGGGGUAGGUGAUCUUAGGAGGAAGCAGCACAGCCAAGAAAAGGCAGAGAGAACACAGGAUGACACCUCCUCCAUGUGGACAGAAAGAGAUGGGGAGGAGGGGAAGGGAGAGGAAACCCAGCAGGAAGAGGAGAGACGCAGAGGGCCUGGAAAGAGGAAGACAGAGUGGCCAGGGCAACGCUGCAAAGUGGAAGAAGAAAGACAAAGGCAGAGCAAAGAAAGUCCCCAGGGAGAGAGACUCCAAGGGAAGAGGAAAGGGAAGAGCCUAAAAAGAGUCUUCUGCCAACCUCUGAGAAGGUUUGACCAGACCCCACAGAGCCAGCUGGUGUGGGCAGGGAGGGGCCCUGUGAAUGGCUGUCCUCCUGGGGUGGGGGACAUUUAACAUUUAAGAGCACAGGAAAGGCAGCACUGUGGAUUUCCAGAAUUCCCAAAGAUCAGGGAGCUAUGGGCAAGGUGUUGACCCCAUAGUCUGCUAUGGGUGGGGCCUUUGCUUUGUGAUGGAAAGCCAGAACCACAGGGCAGUGGGUCAGACCAUGUACUAGUUGGAAUCACCAGUGGGAGCUCAAUCACAACUCACUGCAGCCUCGACCUCCCUGGGCUCAAGUGAUCCUCCCACUUCAGCCUCCUGAGUAGCUAAGACUACUACAGGCAUGCACCACCACACCCCACUAAUCUUUUUUUUGUAUUUUGUAGAGAUGGGGUUUUGUCAUGUUGACCAGGCUGGUCUCAAACUCCUGGACUCAAGUGAUUGCCCCCACCUCAGUCUCCCAAAGGUCUGGGAUUGCAUCCAGCCUCAAUGUCACUGGUUGAUUUUAACAGGAAAAGGUGUGGUAGGCCAGAGGCAGUGUUAGGUCCUGGCAGAGACAAGAUGAGCUAAAAGCCAACCCAGGCUGUUCUGUUCAUUGAGCAUGGCUUUCAGUCAUCAUCUGCUCUAGAGCUUCUCUUUAUCCAUGGAUAUUAGGAGCAAGGAGAUCCCACAAAAACACAGUCUCCCCUACAGACAUUUCACCAAGGGCUCAAGGGUGCUCUUGGAAUGAGAUGGCAGGUCCACUGUGAGACAUAGGUAUUGACCACCCACAGCCUCAGGAGGCCACCAGGAGCGCAUCGCAGCCAUGAGGAUGAUGUGGACACUGGCAGAAAGGGUGGGCUCUGUGUAAACCCCACAGGACUUUCUCAGCUGGUUUAAUGUGGGCCGAAGCUAGCUUCACUCUGACAUCAAGGAAAGCUGUAGUCAGCUGGACAGUAAAUCUGGCCAGUUUGAAAACCCGGAAUGCACUCAUGUCACAGUCAAGGAGAAAACAGGAAUGAAAACCAUAGGCCUUAGAGUUCAUAACACACAUGCUAUUCAUAUAAUAACAUUAUUAGCCUAAUGGCUAUCCAUCCACAAUUCUAACUGGGUUUUUGCAUCUAAAUGGCUGUCCAGGCAUCACAACUCCACCUAGCUGGUGAUGUUCAAAUCAUCUAAAAGUAUAAAAGAAAUAGAAUGAAAAAUCUUGCUCCAACCUGCCACCAUCCAUCCAGUUUCCUCUGUACCCACCUCCCUACAUUAGCUUCUAAUGUCUCCUUCCAGAGUUUCUUUGGGGAAAUACAUUCUCUUUUCAUUUCAUUUCUCUAAUUUUGCAUAAAAGGUAGUAUACUAAACACACUAUUUUGCAACCUAGCAACAUAUCUUUGUGAUGAUUUCUUAUUAGUAUAUUUACAUGUACAGAGUGUCUUAUCCUUUUUGAUAGCUGCAUAGUAUUCCAUUGGAAGAUUUGCCAACAUUUAACUAACUAGUCCCAGGGAUGGGCACUUGAGUUAUUUCUAGUUUCUUGCUGUUACAAUAUUAUAAUAAAUCAUUGUAUAUGCUAUAAUGUUACAAUUAACUACAUAUGUAUAACAUUGCCCACAUAUUCUUAAUAGAGUCUGGAGUUCUCAAGCCUUGGUUUUUUAUAAUGAGCAAAUGGGCUUUAAGCCCUCCCUUUGCACUGGCUAUGGUAUGUUUUGAUCCAUUGAGAAUAUCCUUCAGAGGCGCUUAGACCUUCACUCCCCACAGAAUCUGGGCCAUGUCUUUAGCACAAGGUCUGUCUCAUGAGAAGUCAGGGAACCUCCGUUCUUAUUCUAGCUGUACCAGCUGUUCUAACUCUCUGUCCUCAGUUUCCACAUUUAUCAAAGGGAGAUGACAGUUGUUUGCAGGGUCGCCGUGGGGAUCAGGAAUCAGGAGAGAAUUCUGCGGAUAUAUGACAGUAUCCACGGUGUGAGGGAGGUCUGUGCCUGAGGCCUCCUUGUCACCCCAGAGGGCAGAUCUGGACUCUGUGGGUUCCCAGAGAAGACGCCAGUCAGGCUGGAGGAGGGAGUCUCUGCAGAAAACAGAGCAGCCACCGCCAGCGCCGGGUUUCCAGUGUGGUCCCUGAUCCCAUAGUAGCCAGAGCCUGAGCCCACAAGAAGCUGUGUUCCGGAGGUGGCUUUGGUAGCCCCAAGCAGCCCUGAGGACUGCCAAGUUGAAGCUGCUUUCUGCUUUUAUUCUGUUUUAAAAUAAAAUAGUGAUCACAUUCCCAGUGUGUAGAGACACUCUGCCCCGCCAUGAAUUAGUCUCAGCUUUCCCAGCCACUCAGGAAAGGAUCUAGAGGAAUUUUACACCCACGGUUUAUGCAGAACAAAUCCUGGUGGGCAACAGUGUGCCCGUCCCGCUUCCAGGUGGAGUCAUCAUCUCCCUCUUCGUAGCAUUCACAUCUUCCUAACUUGCCUCCCAAGGGCCCCGAGGUGCUGACAGAGGAGCCUUUGUAUCCCUCUUCCUGGCCCCCGUGCCCUUUGCCAAGAACCCUGGCCAUGACGUCUCCGCUGAUGCAAGUUUCCAGUGCUCCACAGUUUGUAGCCAUGAGCAGAGAUCUUUGAAACCUCUGCCUCGCUGAGCCAUGAGACCCAUCACUGUCAACCCUCAGGGUCCUCUCUAUCCCUCACUUUGCCCCAGCCUCCCAACAAUGUUGAGGACCACCCCUACCUUACGGGUGAGUAAACCGAAGCUCAGAGAGGUUGAGCAACUUGUCCAAGAUCACACAGCUAGAAAAUGGAGAAGCUAGGACUCGAACCCAGAGCUAUGUUCAGUGUGCGAUGGCUAAGGAUAUAGGUUCUGAAGCCAGAUCACCUGAGUUCAAAAGCCAGUUCUGUCAUUUACUACCUGUGAGACCUCUUUGUGGCUUAAAUUCUUUCCUCAGUUUCCCAAUCUGUAAAAUGGAGCAAUACAUACCUCACAAAGUACCUACCUCACAAAUAGUAUCUACCUCCUAAAGUUGAUACUAGGAUAUAAUACGAGAAGGAAUAUAAACAGCUAGAACAAUGAUACCUGGCCCAUGGUAAGUUCUCAGCACAUUAUCCAUUGUUAUUGUGGUUGGUGUUGAGUACAAUUAAAAAUUUCACCAUUAUAUGACAUAGCCCCAGAUAUAAACCUGGUAUGAUUGCAAGGAAGUACAAUUUAAAAACAAAACAAAAGCCUCCUCUCAGAAUUUCUUUCACAGGGAGGCAUAAACAUCUAAUGACACAUUACCUAUUCCUCCUCCUUACCUUCAAUAAACCUUACUGAGCACCUGUUAUCUGCCAGCUGUCAGGCUGCGAGAUAGAAUACAAAGAUGUAGUUCCUACUCCCAAGACACCCAAAGGCACGUAAGGGUGACAGACAAUGAGUAAAUCAUGACAGAGCAAGCUCAGGGUGCUGGGGGACCCAUGGGCAUAGAAUCCAGCUGCCAAGCAGGGGAAGGCUGCCUGGACAGAGUGAAAUUUGAAGAACAAGCAGGAGUUGGCCAGUGGGCACCCCAGGCUGAAGUAACUUCAGAGGCACCGAAGCAUUGCACUUUCACGUGACGUAGCUGGAGAAUAAGGUUGUGAACUAAGUUGGGAUUUAAAGCUGUGAGGGUGGAAACUCAGGCACUGUGUGGAGCAGAGGGAGAGUUUCAGCCAGAUCAUACGGACCUCAGUGUCUCCCUAAAAUCUCAGAGGGGUGGCCUGACUAGGGGAUGAAGCCUUGAGCUUCCCUCCGUAAGCCCGAGGAGGUAUGCGCCAGGUAAGGGGU